rnacentral:tRNA from 2 species
GCGGGUGUAACUCAGUGGUAGAGUGACAGCUUCCCAAGCUGUACGUCGCGAGUUCGAAUCUCGUCGCCCGCU